rnacentral:misc_RNA from 1 species
UAAUUAUUGUGGAAAUGUGCAUAAAAAGUUUGAGUGUCCGGCUUAUGGUCAAAAAUGUGCGCGAUGUUCAGGGAUGAAUCAUUUUGCUCGUGUGUGUGGAAUUCAUUAUAUAGUGGAAUCAGAUGAGAAGGAUAGUGAGGCCUCCGGAUAGAUUGGGGUUCACAUAAGAAGAUUUUUCUUCAAGAAGAUUUGAUGAAUGAUGUAUGUUUUGUUGUAAUGCUAUAGUUACGUUAGGUAAAAAAAAAAAAAAAAAAAAAAUAAUAAAUAAAAAAA